rnacentral:rRNA from 1 species
AAUUGGAGGGCAAGUCUGGUGCCAGCAGCCGCGGUAAUUCCAGCUCCAAUAGCGUAUAUUAAAGUUGUUGCAGUUAAAAAGCUCGUAGUUGAAUUUCGGGAUCAAUAUUUCGGUCAUGCCGUUGGUAUGCACUGUUAUCAUUGAUUUCUCACCUUCUAAAGAACCGUAAUGCCAUUAAUUUGGUGUUACGGGGAAUUAGGACUGUUACCUUGAAAAAAUUAGAGUGUUUAAAGCAGGCUCACGCUUGAAUACAUUAGCAUGGAAUAAUGAAAUAGGACAUCCGAUUCUAUUUUGUUGGUUUCUAGGAUCGAUGUAAUGAUUAAUAGGGAUAGUUGGGGGCAUUAGUAUUCAAUUGUCAGAGGUGAAAUUCUUGGAUUUAUUGAAGACUAACUACUGCGAAGGCAUUUGCCAAGGAUGUUUUCAUUAAUCAAGAACGAAAGUUAGGGGAUCGAAGACGAUCAGAUACCGUCGUAGUCUUAACCAUAAACUAUGCCGACUAGGGAUCGGAUGAUGUUAAUUUUUUAAUGACUCAUUCGGCGCCUUACGGGAAACCAAAGUGU